rnacentral:rRNA from 1 species
UGGUGGAGUGAUUUGUCUGGUUUAUUCCGAUAACGAACGAGACCUCGACCUGCUAAAUAGUACACUGAACUCUUUGGGUUCAUGUGGCACUUCUUAGAGGGACUAUCGGUGCAAACCGGUGGAAGUUCGAGGCAAUAACA